CCAAAGGUACCGCCAGCUCCUCUGGUUCUUCUGCCGCAGUCUUCUGUCCCUUUCCCAUCCUCUUUCUGGCUGUUGCUUUUCAUGCAGUGAGGAGGGUGAGGGUGGAAACAUCCAUGACGGCAAGUGUGCAUGCAAACUUCAGAGAGAGCUGAGGAUGCAGCAGAGAAAGGAGAGAGCUCUUCCUAACCAUGCACUGCAACAUACAACCUUCUUGAACCUUCUGAUAGAAGGUGGCUGGAGGCAAGGGGAGGCACGGGCUGCUUCAGUCCUUUUUGCGCCUGGAGAAUUGCAGGUUUGUCUGGGAUCGUGUAGCAGAACUUACAGCCCGAGGUCUCCUCUGAUGACACAACUGGCCCAUGGAAGAUGGGCCUUUCAGAAUGGCACAGAGGCAGGAAUCCAGCUAAAGCUAUGGCUGCUUGCUAAAAGGUUGGUUGUGUAUGACUGUCUCAUGUCAACAGGAAUCUGGACACUGCUCUCAUUGGAAUCAGUUUCAUUUAUUUUGCAUCUGCCCUUAGUAAUGGAUAAAAUCGGUCAUUAAAAAGCCUGCUUGAGUCCAAAACACAAACAAUGAGCAUUCUGCCAAUUACUGAGAAGCAGUAGUGAGAUACUGCUGACAGCUGGUUUGGUCUGAAGUCCAGUGCACAUCCCCAAACUUUCUCUUCUUACCCCAUUAGGGUGGCUGACAAAUCCCACCCAGCCCUUGCAGCAGUGAUGUAUGGGGCUCCAGGGACAGACCCCGCCGCCUGCUCUCUGCUAGGUGGCAGCAUGGAAGGGAUGGGGUGAUGAGAUGUUCUGGUCGGUGCUUCUGUCCACACAGUACUUUCUGCAGCUUGGGAUAAACAGAAGGACAUCGUCCAGGUGGUGACAGAAAUGUGUUAAGAUGAAAAAUUUGCAGGAUCUUGGAAAGCUGAUGAACAUCCCCUGGUGAACUGACCAGGGCUGGGAGGAUUCCCUUUUGCUCUCUCAUCUGGGAGCAGUUUCAUCCCGCACAGACAAGCGUGAUGUAUGCUGGGCUGAGUACCAGUAGGACCCUGGAAUCAUUGAAUCAUUAAGGUUGGAAAAGACCUCUAAGGUCAUCUAGUCCAACCGUCAGCCCAUCCCCACCAUGCCCACUAACCACGUCCCUUAGUGCCACAUCUACCUGCUUCUUCCAAGGACGUUGACUCCACCACAUCCAUCAGGGCACUGAACAUCAAGCCAAGGUUAGUCUCUGGUAUCUCACUCCUCCCUUCUGUACAUGUGUGAGGCUUCGAGGCGUAUGGUAGUUCCCCAGCACUAGUUACUGACUUGUGACAUACUGUGGGAAAAGUUCAAUUCUCUCCACUGCCUCGGGGAAAAAAAAAUGACUUUAAUUGAUCUUUUUUAUAGCUAAUGAUCUUACAACUGCAAGAGCUUACAACGGUUCUCUGGUCAUUCCAGAUGGCUAAAAAAUAGGCAUUUUAAGCAGUGUGUGCAAACUGUAGGACAACUGAAUGUAGUAUUUAGGCGCUUGGAUUGUUGUUUGUUUUUUUUUCUGGGCUUAAAUGUUUUCUGUUUCUGUUGCUGUAGGGGUCAGUUUAUCUCCCCGUACACCUAUCUGCUACACUUCUUCUGUGAACCACCUCCUGCAUCUUGCUUUCAUUUCCCUCUUAAUGGGAAAUGGGCUGCUGGAGCACCCAAGGGCAGCUCAGCCUGCUCAGGCCAGUUGUGAUAUCCAGCACUGAAGAAGCUGUAUGAUGGAACAACUGGCAUGUGCUUGGCUUCCUUAGUUUGGUGGUCUUUCAGGAGUGCACGUAGGCAGGCUGGAGAGCUGUCAGUCGGCUGGGAAGUGAGAUGAAGAACAGAAUUACGUAUCUCCUUGCCUCAAUCGUGGCUUAACCACACUCAGAGAGCUGAAGAGCUUCUGAGACAGUCAGUGUUUCUAAACAACAGAUUGAGGAGCCAGACCCAAGUACACAGCUCAGCCCCGCGAGGUGUCAGCUCUGGUCCCCGGGGCAUCCCACUGUCCUCCAUCUUGUAACUUGUAUAAGGGCCUGAACAGCAUUUGGUGGUGUGCUGCCUCUGUGCAGAGAGGCACCGAAAGCAGACAGAUCGUAUCUUAGACCACAUCCUUAAUAAAAAAAACCCAAGCCGAACUGAUGAUUUAGCUUGUUUCUCUUUUGAUACAGCUUCUGUGAGGCCUCAGGUACCUCAGAAAGACUACAUCUUUGUAGGUAAUCUCCUGUUUACUUACUUGUGCAUGACCUAAUUUAUUUUACAAAAGCAGCUUUAGGAAUACACAGCGCCAUCCCAUCCAAAGAGAAGGCAGAAUGCCUUUUGCCUGGUGCUGGAUGCUGAUGUUCAUGCAGACUGCCAGGAGAAAUCUGUCUGGGACAUUGGUGAGCCUUGUGCUGCUUCCACUGCUCUGCCAACACGCGUGUCCUGUGGAUUCCAAAAGCCCACAAGUGAUGUGGGGCUAUUCUGAGUGCCAUCAGCUCUUGUGGAAAAGCUUCCUUGCUAUCAGUCUAGACUCCACUAUCUGCUAGAAAGCCAGCACUUCAAGCUAAACUUUUAAAACCACAUACGCUUUUCUAUGUUACGUCUGCCUGUCUUAGACUAGAAUGGGAUCUCUAUUUUAAGUAACACUGAGAUAACAC
ensembl:lncRNA